GAUAGAGGAAGUUCGACUAAAACCGUCACGUCCUGUGACAACGUCGAACGACCCCACAUCGUGUGGG
rnacentral:sRNA from 1 species